AGAAACUUCUCUUAGACAUGGAUGUAAUGACAUACUCAAGGCUGAUUGUGUCAACCUGCUAGUCAAAUACUACAAGGAAGCAAAGCGUGCAAUAUGUUUGAGUGAGGACGUUGAUCAAGCACAUUCCAAAAGAAAUCAGCAGAGGGCUUCACAUUUAGGAGAGAGAGUCAUUAGUAUGAAAUCCAUGGAGGUUAAGUCAAAAACCAGAGGAGGUGGAAGGUGUUGCAUAUGUUUUGAUCCGUUUUCUCUACAGAACGUAUCAAUUAUUGCCUUCUUUUGUUGUCAUGCCUACCAUACAACUUGUCUCAUGGAGUCCACCAUUUCCAUUGGUGGCGAUAAAAAAGAGGCUGGGGCUUCUUCCAAGGGCACUGCGUCAUAUUUUGAAUUUGAUAAUGGCAGUGAUGACGAUGAUGAAGAAGAAGAUGACGAAGAUGCUUCUUCAGGUACCCCUCGGAUGCGUUGUAUUUU
rnacentral:misc_RNA from 1 species